AUAAAAAAAUUACAGCGCGCCAGAGGACGAGACAGGAACUACAGUCAUUGUUUAUCAUAUCUCGAUAUAUCUCGACUAUCCAUGAUCGAUCUAUGGACAACGAGAAAUGAUUCUGAAGAUAUCCGUCAGGUGGCGGUGGCGCGAUUUUUCUCCACGAUCGCGCGAGUUUUUUUUUGUUUUCCUCCGACGAUUUCUCUGGACCACGAAAGAGCGGUUGGAUCGGGAUGCUGCAUAAACGCGGCAACUGUGUUGGCGGUAAUUGACAGCUGCCGAAAAGCGGCGGCGGUCGAGACUCGGACGGACGUGAGUGCGCGAUUAGGGAGGAAAAUCGGCGCGUAUAUGUACAGAGUGAUAUCCUGAUAUCUCGACGAGGGAGUUAUUUCGAAUCGCCGGGAGCGACAGCCGCGGAGACAAUCGUCGAAUUCAAUCGGCGUCUCGGCAGUGCGAAGAUCCGAUUGUUGUGUGCACGGGAGGAAGAAAGAGGAAGAAAGAGAGAGAGAAAGAGGAGACCUUUUUAAAGGCCCGGGCGUGUUUACAGUUCCACGCGGCGCUUGACUGACGCGCAUCUCAUCUCGAAAGGAAAAGAAAAUACUAUAAUAGGAGAAAAGGGAUCUUUUUUGACCUGCUUCUGAUUGUCAUAAGAAGAAGGAGCAAGCAGAUAUAGAUAUAGUGCAGGCAAGAAAAACACGCCUGUUGCUUUAGAUGGUAGUAAAAACGGUGCAAGUGAGAAGACGAAAAUUAGCUGGAGAACGUGGAGCUCUCGUUCUCAAAAGCAGCAAGAACUUUGGCCUUUCUUUGGCCUGCCAGAUAUGUGCCCAACGGCGCGAGGACGUGCCCCGUUCUGUCAACGCGUUGAACGACUUUUGAUUUCUCGGCGGUGUUAGCUCUCGGAGAGAUACGUGGAAGGGCCAACGAUGGACAGUGGGCAACAGCCGCUUUUUCUA